AUAGAGAUGCCCUCUCUCCCCACUCCCAUUCAGCAUAGCUUUGAGGGUGUUCUUUGCUCUUGGGUUUCUAAUUCUUUUAAUUGUGAUGUUGGGUAGUUAACUUGAGAUCUCAAUUUUGUUUUUGAGAUGGAGUGUUGUUCUCUCAACCAGGCUGGAGUGCAGUGGUGUGAUAUGGGCUCACUGCAACAUUUAUCUCCUGGGUUCAAGCAGUUCUCCUGCCUCAGCCUCCUGAGUACCUGGGAUUACAGAUGAAGAAGAUGAGACUCAGAGCAAUACAUAAGUUGCCCAAGGUCAGAGAGCAAUGACCAUAUCAGAGCACAGUGUACUCCUCUUGCCGUAUUCAGAGGAUUUGCCUAUGGGCAGCAACAUUAUUCUCUCGUUCUCUGGAUAUUAGGAACAAUAUCACAGGACCGGCGGACAGCCCCAGUCAUAU